UGAGUGCUGGGAUUACAGGUGUGUGCCACCAUGUCUAAAGAUUUUUGAAAGCAAUCAUUUGUGCAGUGGAGCUGAGCUGAGUGUUUUCAAAGUAUCUGCAUCUGAGCACUCUUGUGCAAAUGACAGAGGAACCAGCUGUCUUCUCUUCCUGUCAGUGAUUCAGUCAUGAGAGAUGUGUCUUGUCCUUUGACUAAGCCCCGAGUUUAUGCUGGACACUUCCUCUUGAUUCUGAAUCAGAACCCCAGGCCCUCCCUUAGCCGGUUCCUGCGUCCUUGUCGCAGUCCCUACAGUCAUCCCCGCUCACUCUGGCCUUUCGCCUCUCCCUACCUGCACAUCAGUGCCAGGCUGACCAUAGCUUUGCCUGGACAGGCCCAGCUUAAGGAAUUCGCUCUGAAUGACUCACAGAAUUACAUCAAACUGCUCCCUGAAGAAUUCCGUCUGCCUUCCGUGUAAUGGUUUCCUCUGGCUUAGAUGACCUUGGCUCCUGCCUGACAGAAUGAACACGGCGGGAGUCUGGCUCUGUGCUUCUUUCCCCUUCCACUUUCUCCUGUCCCCUUCCCUGGCGUUUAUUCUGAUAUCCGUCUCUGUACCUUCACGUGUGCUGUUCCUUACCCACCCACCCUUGCAUUCAUGAAGAAGAUACUGAACUUCUUCCACAUCAUGGGCUGUGUUUGGGGUCCUGGGGAUAUGAUCUCGGCAGUUUGGGUUACACCCUGCCUCUUCUUCCUCAGUCCAAGGCAGUCCAAGUCAUACUCUGCCUUCAGGAACUGAUUCAACCCUCACCUUCCCAAAGAUUGCUUGACUCUGGAAAGCGGAUCGCUCAGGGGUGCCGGCUUCGGGCUGUCCCUCUCCAUAGCCUUCUCCUAGUAAAGACAAACCGUUCCUGUGGACUGACAGCCACCCAGACAGAAGCCGAGACGCCUUGGUCUGAUCUGACGGAGAGAGAGGGAAACUUUUACAAUCUGCAGGGCACUGAAUUUCCAGCUAGUGUUAAGUGGCCAUAGCAAAGCAUAACCUGUGGCUUCAAUUUGGUCUGUCAAAGAUGGAAUUAAAAGUAAAUUUGAAGUUUCA